rnacentral:tRNA from 1 species
AGGAGUUUAAGUUAAAGAAAAACUAAAAACCUUCAAAGUUUUAAAUAAGAAUGAAAAAUUUUUAAUUCCUG